GUCCUCCCCCCCAACACACACUCAGUUUCCUCCCCCUUUGCUAAAUAAAUUAAAAGCAGAGAUGUCUCCUGAUGGAGAUGGAUGAGGCUGAGCUCACUUGCAUGCACUGUGCCACAGCCCUGAUCUGCUGCUUAGGGCAGAAGUGACCUUUCCCAGGCAGUGGGAGGGAGCUUCUCCCCACCCCGAUAUGCUGCUGCUUGGAAUUCAUCUUACAUAGCAGCCUUAUUAUUUUUUUAUCCCACCUCCAAAGAACAGAUUGCUACCUCGGGAAAUGCAGGAUUGUUUGUGUAACUCCCACUCUGCAGCAGAUAGUUUCUCUGUGAGUAUUGUAAACAUGCAGCAAGCUGGGCAGUGGGAUCUGGCCUUGCUGAGGAGGGUAAGGCACAGCGCUCUGGUUGUGUGAGUGCUUUACACCGCCACAGAAAGCCACAGUGUUUCUGUGGUUGCUUCUGGAGGGCAUGAGCAGGUCCCAGGGCUUCCCCUUCCCACCCCAUACUGUUUCACAAAAGAAAAGGCUGCUGCUUCUGGAAGAGGCACUGCCUUGUGGCCUUAUUAAAAAUAAAGAAAUAAAUAAAAAAGGCUGUGGAUUAGUCAUCAUUAUCGUUAAAGGAGGCUGCGUGUGCUGGUGUGUGUGUGAUGUUAAGCAUUAGUUUAUUUGGGAGGGCUGGUAAUGUGCUCGGGUCGCUGCUCCUGGAGCAGUGCCACCAGGCUCCAUCAAGCUGCUGCUUGCAGGUGGAAAAGCUGAUGGGCUGGCUGUUGGUCCCCUUCCAUCCCUUUUCCCUUUUCAGUAUCUUUGCACUGGCAGGUGUGGGAAGGAGGAGACCGAAACAACAGCGAGGACAGGCGAGGUUCCAAUGCCAGAGAAGAAACCCUGUGCUUUUUAUCCUUGCUCGUGGUAGCUUUUAUUCUAAGCACAACUGACUGUAUCUUGUGAGAAGACUUAGUUUGACCCUUUUGGGUGGUAAAAACGGCACUGGUUUGAAUCGUUUAUUUUUAUCCCUUCCCUGUGGUCAUGUAGAGGAGUGAGCUGUGCAAUUAAAGUGGGGUAGCAAAGGACAGUUCCCUCCCCCUUUCCCAUUUCAAAAAACCUUCCAGAGUUGUGUGUUCUUGAAUUGCUGCAUAGGCAGAAAGCAUACAAUGCAGUUGUCAGCAUUGUGCUGAUGUGUGGCACAUAAAAAAAAAAAAAAAAUACACACAAAAGGGGUGGGGAGAGCGGGUGCCUCCAGGGAGUAAAACUGUGGGGCCCCUUUCCCUACCAGCAAACAGACCUACAUGCAAUAGUUUAUUACUUCUCAUUUUGCUCAGGCAAAUGUAAUGCACAGACAUCAGAGGGAGCAUUGCAACGUGCUAAAUGGUGUUGCUGAAGAUCAGGGUCCCCUUGAACUAUUUUUCCUGUGAGCUUGCUCCCAUGAGAUGCCACAGCUUUAUUACUCAAUUCCUCAAAGUUGUGCUUGCUUGCCAGAAGGAAGGAGAAUGCUUCCUUUCUGGGUGUAAUUUCUUUUGUUGUGAGGCAGAAGGUAAUCAAAAGCAGCUGGUUCAGAUCUUUCCUAGGUCACCACGACUUCAAAAUGCACAGUCCAAGCAGUGAGCAAAGAGAGCAGGUAUUGGCACCUCCUCAUUAGCCUUCAUCAAUGAGAAUAUUGGCUUUGGUGUUGUGUGAGUGCUGCUGGCUGACCAGUGGAGGGGCCCUGCCCUUCUAAGCUAGAGCAACACUUUCUGAGCAGUGAUUUCAUUGCCUGGUUGCUGCAGUGAUUUGGAGCACAGCUGUGACUUUAUGUUUUUCUGGCAAAAAUUUAGCUGAGGGUAAGUAUGAGAUGUCCAGGCCAGAUUUCAAAAUGAGAUGGAGAGCUGGGAGAAGCUGGUGCAUGGUGUAUGUGAAAACUGCCAAUUGCUUGUGUUUCUAAAAAGGCUCAUCUGUGUUUGAAUUAAAUGAGCCUGGAUAGGACAUCCAUUUUUUUCCUCUUGUUAGGGAUGUAUUUGGAGAUAUGCCUGGUGCUGAUUGGGGGCCUCUGCUGGCCUGCAGGUACAGGGGACCAACAAAGUGUUUGGGAUGCUUUCAGGUUUUUCAGGCCACGAUACCCUGUAGGAAUUGUACUACUUUUCUCUAUCAGUUUGGAAUAACUGGAUUUCCUUGGGAGUGUUGGACUUGUAUCACCGCAUGCUUUGGAUUGAAGAGUUACCAGAAUGACAUCUGUGAGGUUUCCAAGCUAAACAACACCUGAAUUUCUGGUGCAAAAAGCAAGUGAGUGAUAGAAACCUCUGCUCCUCUUAUGGGUGAAACUGCAGCCUUUUAAGCUUUCCUAUUACACCAAAGAGGUAGAAAAAGCAUAAGCAUGCAUUGUGAGUUCUGCAGUGCUGUGGUGAUGUAAAAUGAAAGCCAAAGCUAGCCAAGAAACUGUUCUCCUUUCAAAUACAGUCGGUCUCCAUGCACGAGUACUUUUCUUCUUUGCCCUUCCCUGAAGUGAGGGAGCAGUAAUGGCACAAGCGUGCACUCGGUCUGCUUCAUUUAGAACACAGUGAUGCGACUUCAAUGCCAACAUGGUGAAUCAAAAGCACUGAAGAUAGCUGGCUUGCUAUUUAUUUUGCCCUAGGUGUGAUUGGGAACGUUGAAGAAGAGCAGCUUUCCACUCACAUGGUUGCACUGUUAUAAACCUUUGUCCUGCAACAUCUCCAGCCUGAUUUCUGUCAUUCCUGCUGGGCAAUUGCAUGUGAGGCUUUUAAUGGAGAGGUAAUACACUGCAACUGUGUGUUAAACAUGGCAACGUACAGGAUACAGUAAUCUCUCCAGUUCUAGGAGCCUGGAAGACAGAAGCCCUCUGCCUAGAGGAUGAAAUGCUUCGUGUUUGGAAAAAAGCUAUCAGGCUUUGUUUGUGACAGCUCCUUGACUGUGGAUGUCCUUCCAGCCAGGCUGCCUGCAGUGUGACAGCAGUGACCCUGCAUGAGGUUUCUUUGAAGGACCUGGGAGAACGUGUGGCUUUUUUUAGUCUCUCAGAGGUGCUUCCCUGGCAGGGACGGAGGAAAAUGUUUGGAAAUGCUGUCACAGGGGGGCAUGCUUACCUGGCUAGGGGAAAACUUGGUGUGGAAAAGCCAGCUGGCUCAUGGUUUGGAGAGGGAUAUGUUCCUUUCUCUCCAAAAUGGAAUCCCUUAAGGAAGGUAUAGACAAGUGGUUCCUGCUCUUGGGGUUUCUGACCAGUUAAAACAAAGAGCUGAGCCCAUUUCCAUGGAGAAAUGUGUGGUAGAGUCCACUGCAAUGCUUUUCCUUGCAUGUGCGUGGUCACGUGCUUUAUUAGUAGAUGGUUUGCAUGCAAGAGGUUAUUGCUUUUUUAUUUUUAAUCAGUCCAUGUCCAUUCGGCAGAGCAGCUUCACACCCACCAUCACGGGGGAAACUGAGGCACGGGGCCACCGUGGGAUUACAGGCAGAGCUGGGGAUAAGGCUCAGGUUUGCCGAGGCUCAGGCUGACGUGCGUCAGAGGGCUGCUUAAAUGGAGAGAUUUGCAAAGGGAAGUGACCUACAGCUCGAUGGCUGGGACUGCUGCUGGACCUGAGCCUUAUGGGUGCCUUCCAACUCGAACCGCAGUUUGGUCAGGGGAAGAAUUUGGCAGCACGGUGCCCACGGUGAGAUUUGGUGAACUCCUCCAGCGCCAGAGCCUGGCCCACAGCCAGCCCGCGGGGUUCAUACGGCACUGAACUUUGGAGCUAUUAGAGAUAAA